CCCGGUGCGUGCCCAAGGAUAAGGCCAUUAAGAAGUUUGUCAUUCGGAACAUUGUAGAAGCCGCUGCAGUCAGGGACAUAUCUGAAGCAGGCGUCUUUGACACUUAUGUGCUUCCCAAGCUCUAUGUCAAGCUGCACUACUGCGUGAGCUGUGCCAUUCAUAGCAAGGUCGUCAGGAAUCGAUCUUGUGAGGCCCGGAAGGACCGAACACCCCCACCACGAUUCAGACCUGCUGGCGCUGCACCACGACCUCCACCAAAGCCCAUGUAAAGAGGUGAUUUCAUGAAGGCAGAACGAAAAAUACCAUGGAAAAAUAAAACUGAAGUUAUACGUUAAAAGAGAAAGAAAGAAA
rnacentral:lncRNA from 1 species